UAUUGUGGCAAAUUAAUUUUUUAUCCCCCACUGGCCAAAGGCCUGAUGUGGGAUUAUGUUGUGGCGAUUUCCGUCCGUCUGUGUGUCUGUCUGUCCGUUCCA